rnacentral:rRNA from 1 species
CGGCGGACGGGUGAGUAACACGUGGAUAACCUACCUAUAAGACUGGGAUAACUUCGGGAAACCGGAGCUAAUACCGGAUAAUAUAUUGAACCGCAUGGUUCAAUAGUGAAAGACGGUUUUGCUGUCACUUAUAGAUGGAUCCGCGCCGCAUUAGCUAGUUGGUAAGGUAACGGCUUACCAAGGCAACGAUGCGUAGCCGACCUAAGAGGGUGAUCGGCCACACUGGAACUGAGACACGGUCCAGACUCCUACGGGAGGCAGCAGCC